rnacentral:rRNA from 1 species
CCACGCUCAAUCACCUUGCCCUCUCCUAAGAAGGCUAUUGAGUCUGCAUUCUUGAUUGUGUUUAGUCGAUGUGCCACUACGAUUGUGGUCCUCCCUGUCAUGAUCCGAUCAAGUGCUUCCUGCACCACUUGCUCGGACUGUGCAUCGAGAGCACUUGUUGCUUCAUCAAGAAGUAGUAUAGCUGGAUCUCGGAUUAUUGCCCUCGCAAUUGCAAUUCUUUGCUUCUGCCCCCCUGAUAGUUGUAUGCCAUGCUCUCCACAAUCAGUAUCGUAUCCAUCCUUCAGAGAUCUGAAAAGGCGUAAGCUUUAA